rnacentral:rRNA from 1 species
GACGAACGCUGGCGGCGUGCCUAAUACAUGCAAGUAGAACGCUGAAGGGAGAGCUUGCUCUUCUGGAUGAGUUGCGAACGGGUGAGUAACGCGUAGGUAACCUGCCUGGUAGCGGGGGAUAACUAUUGGAAACGAUAGCUAAUACCGCAUAACAUUGACUAUUGCAUGAUAGUCAAUUGAAAGGUGCAAAUGCACCACUACCAGAUGGACCUGCGUUGUAUUAGCUAGUUGGUGGGGUAACGGCUCACCAAGGCGACGAUACAUAGCCGACCUGAGAGGGUGAUCGGCCACACUGGGACUGAGACACGGCCCAGACUCCUACGGGAGGCAGCAGUAGGGAAUCUUCGGCAAUGGACGGAAGCCUGACCGAGCAACGCCGCGUGAGUGAAGAAGGUUUUCGGAUCGUAAAGCUCUGUUGUAAGAGAAGAA